UUAAAAUAAUGUUUUAAAAGCUUAUAUCAGACAGAGACUCUGAGAUCCUAACAGUGACCCAAGGUCUCCAAAGACGACUAUGAGACACCACAAUGUCUCCUCCUGGAUAAUGAUGAUGCUGACCACUGGGCAAAAUGCCCCGAUGCCACGACCUGCUGCCAGGCCCCAGCCCAGACUGUGGGCAAACAGUAGGACCUUGGAGAAUUGAUUGCACCACUUUUGCCUAGACAAAAUAAGGUCAGUCUUUUCCAUGUCCCUCUUCCACAGAAACCAAUCACCUUAUGGGCCUGGUAAAGCCUGCUGUUCUGAUACUGCUGCCUCCAACGUUAUGGAGACCUGGGUUUCCCCUUGGUUGGCGGACACAAACAAACAUUAAUUGCUGACUGCAACCUGCUCCAGACGACUGUGGACCAUGGACUUGCUAAAAAUCUGUUAUGGACCAGUCUAGCUGAUAUAAAUGCUCCCUGGCUCUUCAACAAAGUCCACAAACCAAAUGUUCCUAAGAUUUUCUCUUUUUGACUAGCAUUUCACCUUUGUUAACCCUUGACAACGACUCCCCAAAGUCAGCUGGAAGCAGUUAAAAGAAUACAUCGUCCAAUAACCCCUGUUUAAAAUGUUAAGUCAAA